UGAGGAAUAUUGCGCAAUGGGCGAAAGCCUGACGCAGCAACGCCGCGUGGAGGACGAAGGCCUUCGGGUCGUAAACUCCUUUUCUGGGGAACGAGCAAGGACGGUACCCCAGGAAUAAGUCUCGGCUAACUACGUGCCAGCAGCCGCGGUAAAACGUAGGAGGCGAGCGUUAUCCGGAUUUACUGGGCGUAAAGCGCACGCAGGUGGCUUCGUAAGUCGGACAUGAAAGCUCCUGGCUUAACUGGGAGAGGCUGUUCGAUACUGCGGGGCUUGAGGUUGGGAGAGGGACGUGGAAUUCCCGGUGUAGUGGUGGAAUGCGUAGAUAUCGGGAGGAACACCAGUGGCGCAAGCGGCGUCCUGGCCCACACCUGACGCUGAGGUGCGAAAGCGUGGGGAGCAAACA
rnacentral:rRNA from 1 species